GACACCUGGCUAUGGAAAGAAGAAUAGAAAUUGCAAUAACAAAAUCCUAAUUCUAAUAGAAUACUAACAAUACUCCAAUUAGACCAUAACAACGUUGAACAAGCUUAAUCAAAUUCAAAAAAAACCUCAAAGAAAUUUCAAAUAAAUAAUAGAAAUUCUUAAAGAAAUAUUAGAAGGAUCACAAAUAUCACUCAAAUACAUCUCAAUUCAAUCUUAAUUUAAUUCUACUUAAAAUCCUAUUAAAAUUUAUUAAAACUUUAAGCCAAAACUAAUUGAAUCUUAAAUCCUAAUAAAAUCCUAAAUCCUAAAUCAAAUCCUAAACAAACCUUAAACUAAAUCCUAACCAAAUUCUAAACCAAAUUCUAAACUAAAUCCUAACCAAAUCCUAAACCAAAUCCUAAAUCCUAAAUCAAACCCUAAUCAAAUCCUAAUCCAAAUCCUAAAUCCUAAAUCAAAUCCUAAUCAAAUCCUAAAUCCUAAAUAAAAUCUUAAUCAAAUCCUAAAUAAAAUCCUAAGCAAAUUCUAAAUCCUAAAUCAAAUCCUAACCAAAUCCUAAACCCUAAAUAAAAUCUUAACCAAAUCCUAAAUAAAAUCCUAAGCAAACCCUAAACCAAACCCUAAUCAAAAUCCUAAACCAAAUCCCAACCAAAUCCUAAAUCAAACCCUUAACUCUAAAUCAAAUCAUAACUAAAUCCUAAACCCUAAACCAAACCCUAAUCAAAUCUUAAACCCUAAAUCAAAUCCUAACCAAAUCCUAAAUCCUAAACCAAAUCCUAAACCCUAAACCAAACCCUAAAUCAAACUCUAGUAAUUCCUAUAACAGAUUUAAACCUCAAUAAUUAAUGAAUAAACUGUUGAUCUUAACUCAAAUUUUGUACACUUCUAAAACAAUGAGUAGAAAAAAAGCACGAAAAAAUUGAAAAGAAUCGGAAUUACCAAAUUGACGAUAACCUCAAAAAUGUGCUCAGGUAUUGACUGGCCUCCUUCUCUAAUCUUGAUGCCAAUCUUCCAGAGCUAAUAUCUCUCUUUUGCACCGUUCGAUUGAUCUCAAAAUUCUUAUACACAUAAGAAAUUAAGUCUAAUAUCUUGUCACGUAAGUUUUACUCCAAUCCAACCAAUAGAUUGCAAGAAAUCUCAAAAAACCUCACUAGACCCAAAAUUCUACUUUCUGAGACCUUGACCCAGUUAUACCUCAAUAUUCCUCAAUUCAACCGUUAAAUCAAGCUCAAAUUUAUGACACAUAUUAAACACAACUAUAACCAUAAAUCCACAAAAUUUCACUUGUAGAUCUAUUACAAAAAUCUUGAAAUCACCCAAAACAUAAAUCCUAUUUUAUUUCAUAAAACCCAAGUCAUCUGAAACAAACCUUGACUUUGCAAAGCUCUUACAAAGUUAUAUCAUCUCCAAAUCACCCAAAUUUGAUGCUCAUAGAAAGCCUAUUCAGUCUGCCAUCAAAUUUCAUUCUCCGAUCUCCAAAAGAACCCCGGAGUCGUCAUCGAGACUCGGUUUUGUGUCCUAGGGUCUGAUUUUGAUCCUUGUUCAUAACCGGCUCUCUCCGGGUAUCAAUAUCUAGUUUUUCUUAGUAACUUCUUUCUAGAAUUUACUCUUAACUUCCUUCUAAAGAUGCCUAUAUUACUUAUUUUCUCAAUCUACUUUGAUUUGCCCUACUUAUGGUGCUACAAAGUAAGUAGAAGUCACCUUUCUAAAAGGCAACAUUGGUACCCUUUUAAUUUUUCUACCUCUUUGACUAUUUACUAUAUUUCUAAGAUAAUUUGUUCUAAUACUUUGAACUAAGAUAUUCUAAAUUAUAACAAUAUCUACACUCUUUCACCUAUUAAUUGUGUUACAUCACGACAUCCAACCCUCCUGAAUCUAUGCAUCCUCCAGCAUGCACCAAUGAUUCUUCAAUAUGUUGAUGUAGAAUGUUCUUCAUCUUGGUAUAAUGCUUGAUCUUUAAUAUGCUCUUCUAUUCCAAUCACAAUAUCUUGUAUUGGAGUUUAUUCUUUAUCAAAACAAAUGCCUUCAUCUCUUUAUUUAAAUAACUUGAUUCGUUUACCUGCUAUGAGUACCUUCAAUUCUGUACCAUCAAGUUCUCGUAAUGAAUAUGUUCCAUUGUUGUGUGCUUUUUUGACAAUAUAAGCUCCAAAUCAUCUCUUUGAAAAUUUCUUCAUAGUGCUAUGUUGAUUGUCUAAGCUACUAUCAUAAAUUAAUACCCAAUCACCAUCUUCAAUAGUCUUGGGUCAUAGUCAAUGUUUUUUAUUAAAUCUUUCCUUAUUCUUUUUCCUUGCUUCUUUCAAUUUUUUUAUUGCUAUUUUAAUAUUAUUGGAUCUUCUUUCUAGCUAUUGAAUCCCUAAUGCUAAAAAUUUUGCUCUAUUGAGAUCAUUCUUUCAAGGCAAUACACCCAAUGUAGGUACUACAUCUUCUAUUGGCAUUACUGAUUUUUGACCAUAUAUUAAUUCAGAAGGCAUAUAACCUGUUACUGAAUUAUGAGUUGUACGAUCUGCCCAUAGUGCAAAUGGUAGAAGUCUAAGCCAUUCAUGUACUUUGCCAUUGCAUGCCUUUACUAAUGCCUUAACAAUAGGUGAAUGCCCAAGCUCACUUUUACCAUUACCUUCUGGAUUAUAUUCUGUUGUUAAAGAAAGUUUAAUUCCUAUCCUACUAAAGUAUUCUCAUGCUUCCUUUGCAUCCAAUUCAUCCCUAUCUGUCAUAAUUUUUCCAAUACAACCAUAGUGACAAAUAACUUCUUCUAAUAGAAAUCGACAUACACCUUUAGUAUCUUUUGUUCUUAAUGCUCGUCCUUCAACCAUAUUUGAUAAAUCUUCUUGUGCAAGUACCAAAUACUUCAUUUGUCCAAGUCCCAUAGGUAUUGCCAGUAAAUCCACCAUCCACUUGUAAUGUAAAGCCAAAAGGUAUGUUGGAUGUAAUCCAUCUCGAUGCCAAAUAUUUGAAUAUACUUGGCAAGUCUUACAAGAUUCUAUAAAUUUUGCUAUAUCUUUGUACAUUCCCUUCCACCAAUAUUUUUUUCUUAACUUAGUGAAUGUUGCUCAAAUACCUUGAUGCCCUGCCCAUAAAUUUUUAUGAAAUUCUUUAAUAAUCCUUUGUUGAGCUUUUAAACUACAUAUCACCCUUUGUGGUACUUCUCUUUUCUUUUUUGGAUGCUUCCAUAAAUAUCCAUCAUAUAAAAAAUAUCUAUAGGCUUUCUUACAGAUUUUCUUAAAUUCUUGAUUCGUCCAAUCUUUUUGUCACUUUAAUGUACUCAAAUACUCUCCAACAUCUUUCCAUUCAUUUUCAUAUAAAUCUCUUAAAAAUAUUUCCAAUAGUAUAUUAAAACAUACACCCUUCUCCUUUGAUAACGCAUUGGUAUAAAAAUUUGUACCCACAUCAUCUUCUAAAUCAAUCAUCUUUUUUUCAUCAUUAUACCUUGCUCUUGAUAACAUAUCUGCAACUGAAUUUUCUUUUGCUACAAUAUGUUUAAAUUUUGGAUUCAUAGAUUUGAUAUAUGCUAUCCACCUCAACAUAGCAAUAUCAGGAGUUGAAUAACUUAUAAUCAUGCCUAAUAAAGGUAGAUAAUCUAUUUUUAUAACUAUUGAUGCUCCAAUCAAGUAUUCUUUUUCAUUUUUUAUAGCUAUUACUACAUCCCAUAAUUCUCUUUUGAUUUGUGCAUAUGUUCUUUACCUAGAAUUAAAUACCUUUGCUCUAAAUCUUAUUACAUAUCUAUUCCCUUGUUCAUCAUCUUGUCCAACUGUCCAACCUAUUCCAAUUGGACUUGCAUCAACUAUUAAUACCACUGGCCUUCCACCUUCAUAAUUUAUUUUCUUCAAAGUUGGAGAUGAAGAAAGAAGUUCUUUUAACUUUGCCAUAGCUUUUCUUUGUUCUUCUUUCCAUUAAAAUUUUUGAUUCUUUUGUAACAACUCAUAUAAUGGAUCUGCUAUAUGUGCAAAAUGAGGUAUCUAUAUAUGAUAGAAAAUACAUGCUCCUAAAAACCUCCUGACUUUCAUUGUCAUAUUACGUGUUUUCCUGUUCGAGAACGCGCCUAGCGUCUGGCUGUAGAAGGUAGUAUGGAGAUUCGCCAAUAGUCAAGCAGUCUCAGUUUUUGACUGUUAGAAUAUAGACGACUGCAAGAAUAUACCAUAAAUCUAUACAGAUGCCCCUUCGACUACUCACUGAAGUCCUUUUUGUCCCGGUCGGUAGGUCUCAAAACGUUAUAGAGAACCUCGAACAACCCAAACUGUUAAUCUUCGAUACCGCUUUGUACUUACAAUCUUGUAUCCACUAACUGUCUUGUUAGAUUAACCCAAUAAAUUUCAUUCACUCCGCAUACUCAAUCCUAUAGACACCCUUUUAACUCUUCAUCACAAACGUAACUCGAUUUCACAAAACAGUCAAGAGUAAUCAAACCCACUUCAUUAAAAAUCCCAAUUCACCAUUACAACAUUGACUUCAGCAACGAUUGCCUCAGUCUUUCCAAAACCCUAUGAAGAAAAAAAAAACCCAAUUCUCUAUCUUUUUUUCCCGCUCCGAAGCAUGAAGCUAGCUCUCUCCUAUCUUUCAAAACUCUACAAAAACUUAUUCACUCCCCUAACCUUAUCCUCUGAAUUUCUUCAAUCUUCCGUCUUGGAUCCGGAAUUGGCUCCCAUCGUCAGAGCUUGGAUCCGAAAUUGGCUCUUGCCGUUAGAGCUUUCUCCCCCAUUUUUACCUUUAAGAGAUCUUUUUAUCGAAAACAACGUUCCUUGAAACGGCACAGAGAACAGGACAACCUGAAACAGAAUCGAAACCCCGUAAUCGGGACCACAUUGAGUCGCCCGACCAAUUCAGGUCUCAUAUUGGCUAAGAGUCCAGUAAUAAGACCCGGAUGUCCCCAUAAUUGGAUCAAAUUGGUCCUUCGUGUCAGAUUGGCUGAGGCCCGUAGUAAGACCUGGAUUUUCCCGUAAUUAGACUGCAUUGGGUUGUCCGGCCAAUUUAGGUCUCAUAUUGGAUAAGAGGAUCCGGAUUAGAUUCUUAAAAUUGGAUCCAAUUGGCUCUUCGAACCAGGCUCACCUGUAGUGUGAAUUGGUCUUUUCUCUUCCUGUUGACUCCCGUUAUUGGAAUUGCACGGAGCAUUUCAGUAUGCCCCGGUUGACUGUAACGGGGUGACUGAACCUGGCCACUCAAUAUUUGCACUGGAGUUGGUCAUUGCUCCCAAUAUUCGAGGUAACUGAACAUUAAUAAAAGUCCCCUUUCUUUAUAUUUUCACGGUAUACUCGUGUUACAACAUGACACCAUCGUAUUUGUACACUCUUUCAUUUUUUUUAUGAUAUCAAGUUUUUUCCUACUUAGUUUGCGUCCAUAUGAACCACACAUGUGCCCUACUUCCAAAAUUUCUUUUACUCCAAAUAUUGAUUUUGUCCUCAAUAAGGUUAAAUGAACUUCUUCCAAUCUUUUCAAAAUCUUCUCACAAUCAUCAAUAUGAUCUGCCACAAACUUCUUACAUUCCUUUGAAUCCAAUGUCUCAUCCUUUCUUUCUUCUUCACAUCCUUUAAUUGGCACAUCAUCUAGAAAAGGCAUUGUUAUUCUUGAGAUAAAAUCUCUUAGUACCUUAUGCAUUCUAUUCAUCAUGUGUGCUACAGAAUUUGUAGCCCCUUGUAGUAAUGUAUACAUUCUGACCAAUUCCAAUGGUGUCUUCAUAGUUGUCAAAUCUCUACUUUGUAUUGCCAAUUGAAAUUGAUCGUAUCCUGAGUAAAGAUCUCCUAUAGAAUAAAUUGAUCUCCCUGCAAAUACCUCUGUAAACUCAUCCACAAUUGAACUCAAGCCCAUGUUUCUAAUAGUUAUUUUAUUUAUGGAUUGCAUAUCUUGAAUAAACCUCAAUGCUCCAUUUUUUUAAGGUACUGUGAACCACCGAUUAGAAUAUGGUGCAAUAGAUGGUUCUAAAAUUUUCAUCUUAAUUUUUUCAUUGAGUAAUUCAACUAGCUUUGGCAAAUAGACCUUUGGAACUGGAAUUGGCCUCAAAUUCCAUGGUUCAUGCGGAAUUAUAAAAAUAACCAUAUGUACUAUAAUAUUCGGAUCAAUGCACCUUAUUUCAUGUGAUUCAAAUGCAAAUGCUUUACCUUGUCGUGAAAGCAUUUCUUUAAAACAUCUCUCCUCAUCUCUUAUCAAAAAUUUAUCACAUCCAAUUUUUAAACCAUCUAACAUCAAAUUAUCCUUGAAUUCAUGACCUAUUUUUGUUAGAUCUCUUAAGUUAGGUUACAUAGAAGCCCCUUUAAUCCUUUCUUCAAAAUUCAAUGGUAGUGGCAAUGCCACUGGUUUAACCUUCCUUGCAAUAGACUUGUAUUUUGUGUUCACCUUCACUUCAUAGCUAUCCAUAUAUUCUUUUAUUCUAUCAUAAAAUUACUUAGAAUGGACAUUUAUUACUUUAUCACCUCUUUCAAAAUUUCCAUUCUAUAAUAUUUAUAAAUUAUUCAUAGUAUCACCAAAACAAGAUUCUUCAAACAUCCUUGAUAUGUAUUCAUCUUCAUCAAUCACUCCACAUUUCCUUUAAUCCCUGUUCUUCAUUUUUAACAUUUUUCUUAUCUAUCCUACUAAAAUUAUUUAUGUUUUUGAAUAAAAUAUAUCCAUCUUGUAAUAAUCUUACAAUAUCUUCAUCCUUUCUAUUAGGUGGGAAGCCUUCAUUCUUUUUACCAUUGCAAUCCUACUUUACAAUAGCGUCUAGUAAAAAUCCUUUGAGUCUUCAAGAUCUUCAAAUUCUUUAUGUAUCUUUGGCAAACGAUGUUCCCUCAAACUAUCCCUAUUUCUUCCAUGAUUUGGAUAAACUAUUAAAAAUUGCACUGCCCUCUUUCCGUCUUGACUUCUUAUCCUUGCAUAAGCUGAUCCAUCAUCCAUAAUCUUUGUCUCCAUUCGUGUGGCAAUAAUAUAUGGUUGUCCUAAUAUAAUAGGAUAUGUAGACAUAUCUUACACAAAGAAAUUCUGUUCAUGAAUAACAUCUCCUAUUGUCACCUUGAUAUUUGGACAUGCUCCAUACAAAUCUCCCUUUGAUAUGUUUGCAGCUCUUAUCAUCGACCCAUGUUCAGUAUCAAUAGGCCAUUUUUUCUUGUUAUACAAUUCUUUUGACAUCAAAUUGAUUUCAGAACCAUGAUCAAUCAAUGCUACAACUGGUUCUUCUAAAUUUCCCAAUUUUAUUAAAGUCUCUGUUGUAGCCCUUGUCCAAUGACUUUUAGAAUAAUGGCUAGAAGCUUGAAUGACAUCUUCUUUUUUUACAAAUCUUACUUGCAAGACAUCCCCAAAAUUUUGUAUUUUUUCUUCUUCAUCUUCAUUUCUUUCCAUUGCUCUUGUUCCUUGUGCAUUUGAUGUCAUAGAAUCUCCUAUAGAUUGUCAUUUUUUCUUUAUUGUAUCAAUAAUAAUUUCAUGAAACUCAUGCUUUGUAAUUCCUAGAAUUUCACCAAUUGUGAAUUCAAUCUUUUCACUUAAAAUCCGCUCUUCCAAUAUCUUCUUCAAAUCUGUAGCAGCUUCAAUAUUUAAUUGUAAUUUAUAAGUAAGAGCCUUUACUUUUUUUUUUUUCAAGUUCCCUUCCCUUUGUAGUAAUGUUCUCUAUUGUCUCUUCAUGAAUAGGAUUCUUUUGUUGUCGUGUUUUUUCUCUCCUUAUAGUUCUUUUUGAGGGCCCUUUAUUAUUUUCAUCUUUCUUUUGUUUUUCUUCUAUUAAUGCUUCAUGUUGACUCCUUGCAAUAUGAGCAUGUACAGAUAAUCUAUCUACUGGAUCAUUCCACCCAGUAAUUUGUUGAAUGUUAUUACCAACAUAUUUUAAAUCAUCUCUAGUAAAAUUUCUCCUCUCAGUAUAAUUCAUUGCACUUGUCCACAAAGAACUAGAUUCUCCUGGAAACUCAAGAUUUAUACUUAAACAUCUACUAGGAUCUACGUCCACCCAAUAUAUUGAUGCUUCAUUGCUUGAGAUUGUAUGUACUUUAAAAGUAUCUCCAACAAAUAACUUCAUUUUUUCUUUACCAAAAUUUGUUUUCAAUUUUUCUCCACUUUCUUUUGAGUGUAUCAUACCAUCUUUAAAAAAAAAACAACUCUUUUACGUAAUGCCUCUGUAAAAUCUUCACAUUCCCUCCUUGAGUGAUCUAUGCUAUCACACCACAUACACCUAUAUACUUGUGAUUGUCAUUUUACUUAUUCCAGAAGAAACCUCUCAAAAUAAACCUGUAUAAGGGAAUUCAAACAUAGGGAAUGACCAUGUAUAUGAGCUCCAAUUGUUAGGCUCACACAAUUAACCUCUACUGCUGAAUACUUAUAAUACCAAAGAAUACUUAACUUUUCCUCCUACUCUCCACUCUUUCAUAUCAAUUCGAUAACAACCACGACAUCAAUUUCAAUACCCUGUGUAAUUCACAAAUACACAAGCAUAAUCCAAAUCCUGAAACGAAUAACUUCCAAUCCAUAGAAUCUGAUCGAGAUAAUUUCUUUGAUUACAAUUCCUCUCUAUUGAACUUACAACCUUGCGAUAAACAAUUAUUGGAAACUUCCAUACAUCAUCAAUCUUUGACAACAAUUGAUAAACAAUGAUCCAUAAACAACUUCGUAAAUCAAACAUUGAUUCAUUAAAUCAAUUCUCUUGACUAGAAUCAAUACUAACACAAAAGAAACAAGAAAAUUAAGAAGAAGAGAUAGCACCAAGCUUAUUCCCGGCUCAGUACUAUCACAGUCUAGUAUUUUCUUCCUCUCUCCCAUCUUCCUUAUAUUAUCCCGAGAUACCAACUUCUAUACUAUGGAUGAUAACUACUUUUUCUGACUAUUCAUCUAUUCUACCUGCUGAACCACCUUUUCAACAGUUAUCUAUCAAUAGUUAAGAGAUUUACAUUAUACACUAGAUAUCUACAUUCUAAAAGUUUUUUAAAUUUUAUUUGUAAAUCUCUUAUCCUACAUAUGAUUUAAUCAAUUCCCAUUCCUUCUUUCUUUGAUAUAGCCAUUAAAGGUUGAAUCAAAGAUGUUAGAUGGGUACUAGAUACCUUUACCUUAAAUGCUUGUAAUGGUCUUUGGUCACCCCUCAUAUCUUUUUUCCUUUCUUUUUUUGUCAAUGACCUUACAACCUCCUCUACCCUUUUUCAAUUUGUUGUCAAUCCUUCAUCUUCUUCUUUAUCUUCAAGCAUGAUUUCUAAGUUCUCUUGUAACUUUCCAUCAGCUGCUUGAAGAAAGAGCUCCACCUUACUUGGAUCCAAUAAUUAUCUUUCUUUCUUUGAUAAAGAAGAAUAUUGCUUUUCAAACUCCCUUAAUAAUUCUAUUACUAGAAGGUCAUUCUCUAGCCUUUCAAUCCAUUCAAAAAAAGACCUUUUUGUAACCCUAUCACUAUCUUCUAAGAAAAAAUCAUUCUUCAAUGCUUGAAAAAAUUUCUCCCAUGAACCUCCAAAAUGUUGUAUAAGAGACUUUAUUUGAUUUCUUUUCUCUCGUGCAAAGGAUAAUUCAAAUAAUUGAACCAUCUCUUUUUCUGAAAUAUGCUUCAAUUCUAUUUCUUUUACAUAACAUUUUAAAUAUUUUGUAAUAUCCUUUCCUUCAAAUUGAUCAAUCUUGUCCACAACUGCUUGUAAUGCUUUGUUGGCCAUACUCUCUUUGCAAUCUUUAACCUGUUGCUAUUGCUCUUGCAUAAAUAAGGCCAAAGUAUCAAACAUACUUGCAGAGUUAGGAUCAAAAUGCAUACCUUGUCCUUUAAUCGAAGCUCCUCUUCCAACUCCACUUGAAACACCAUUAAAAAUUCUUUCUUCCAUUCCCUUUAAAUUCCUUCUUCAAAAUUCAAAUAAUUCAAAAAAAAUAAACCAAAUUCCUUUCACUUCAAGCGUUUCACAUCGAGUUCACCAAAUAUGUCAUAAUACAUGAAGUCUUGCUUGAGAAUGCUCCGGACACCUAGCUGUGGAAAGAAGAAUGGAAAUUGUAAUAACAAAAUCUUAAUUCUAAUAGAAUACUAACAAUAGUCUAAUUAGACCAUAAUAAUACUGAGCAAGCUUAAUAAAAUUCAAAAAAAACCUCAAAGAAAUUUCAAACAAACAAUAAGAAUUCUUAAAGAAAUAUUAGAAGGAUUACAAAUAUCACUCAAAUACAUCUCAAUUCAAUCUUAAUUUAAUUCUACUUAAAAUCCUAUUGAAAUUUAUUAAAACUUUAAGCCAAAAAUAAUUGAAUCUUAAAUCCUAAUAAAAUCCUAAAUCCUAAAUCAAACCCUAAACAAACCUUAAACCAAAUCCUAACCAAAUCUUAAACCAAAUCCUAAAUCCUAAAUCAAACCUUAACCAAAUCCUAAACCCUAAAUAAAAUCCUAACCAAAUCCUAACCAAACCCUAAACCCUAAAUAAAAUCCUAACCAAAUCCUAAAUAAAAUCCUAAGCAAAUCCUAAAUCAAACCCUAAUUUAAAUCCUAAAUCAAAUCCCAACCAAAUCCUAAACCAAAUCCUUAAUCCUAAAUCAAACCCUAACUAUAUCCUAAAUCCUAAACCAAACCCUAA
rnacentral:lncRNA from 1 species